rnacentral:rRNA from 1 species
UACGGGGGGAGCAAGCGUUGUUCGGAAUUACUGGGCGUAAAGCGCACGUAGGCGGAUUUGUAAGUCAGGGGUGAAAUCCCGGGGCUCAACCUCGGAACUGCCUUUGAUACUGCGAAUCUCGAGUCCGGAAGAGGUGAGUGGAAUUCCUGGUGUAGCGGUGAAAUGCGCAGAUAUCAGGAAGAACACCAAUGGCGAAAGCAGCUCUCUGGGACGGUACUGACGCUGAGACGCGAAAGCGUGGGGAGCGAACAGG